UGGGGAAUUUUGGACAAUGGGCGAAAGCCUGAUCCAGCAAUGCCGCGUGUGUGAAGAAGGCCUUCGGGUUGUAAAGCACUUUUGUCCGGAAAGAAAUGGCUCUGGUUAAUACCUGGGGUCGAUGACGGUACCGGAAGAAUAAGGACCGGCUAACUACGUGCCAGCAGCCGCUGUAAUACGUAGGGUCCAAGCGUUAAUCGGAAUUACUGGGCGUAAAGCGUGCGCAGGCGGUUGUGCAAGACCGAUGUGAAAUCCCCGAGCUUAACUUGGGAAUUGCAUUGGUGACUGCACGGCUAGAGUGUGUCAGAGGGGGGUAGAAUUCCACGUGUAGCAGUGAAAUGCGUAGAGAUGUGGAGGAAUACCGAUGGCGAAGGCAGCCCCCUGGGAUAACACUGACGCUCAUGCACGAAAGCGUGGGGAGCAAACAGG
rnacentral:rRNA from 1 species